AUUGAACGCUGGCGGCAUGCCUUACACAUGCAAGUCGAACGGCAGCACGGGAGCUUGCUCCUGGUGGCGAGUGGCGAACGGGUGAGUAAUACAUCGGAACGUACCCUGAAGUGGGGGAUAACGUAGCGAAAGUUACGCUAAUACCGCAUAUUCUGUGAGCAGGAAAGAGGGGGAUCGCAAGACCUCUUGCUUUAGGAGCGGCCGAUGUCGGAUUAGCUAGUUGGUGAGGUAAAGGCUCACCAAGGCGACGAUCCGUAGCGGGUCUGAGAGGAUGAUCCGCCACACUGGGACUGAGACACGGCCCAGACUCCUACGGGAGGCAGCAGUGGGGAAUUUUGGACAAUGGGCGCAAGCCUGAUCCAGCCAUGCCGCGUGAGUGAAGAAGGCCUGG
rnacentral:rRNA from 1 species